AUACGGAGGGUGCAAGCGUUGUUCGGAAUCACUGGGCGUAAAGGGCGCGCAGGCGGUUUGGUAAGUCAGAUGUGAAAGCCCACGGCUCAACCGUGGAAGUGCAUUUGAAACUGUCAGACUUGAGUACUAGAGGGGAAAGUGGAAUUCCCGGUGUAGAGGUGAAAUUCGUAGAUAUCUGGAGGAAUACCGGUGGCGAAGGCGACUUUCUGGCUAGAUACUGACGCUGAGGCGCGAAAGCGUGGGGAGCAAACAGGAUUAGAAACCCUAGUAGUCC
rnacentral:rRNA from 1 species